AGCGUACACGGUGGAUGCCCUGGCAGUCAGAGGCGAUGAAGGACGUGCUAAUCUGCGAAAAGCGUCGGUAAGGUGAUAUGAACCGUUAUAACCGGCGAUGUCCGAAUGGGGAAACCCAGUGCAAUUCGUUGCACUAUCGUUAACUGAAUACAUAGGUUAACGAGGCGAACCGGGGGAACUGAAACAUCUAAGUACCCCGAGGAAAAGAAAUCAACCGAGAUUCCCCCAGUAGCGGCGAGCGAACGGGGAGCAGCCCAGAGUCUGAAUCAGCUUGUGUGUUAGUGGAACGGUCUGGAAAGUCCGACGGUACAGGGUGAUAGUCCCGUACACCAAAAUGCACAGGUUGUGAACUCGAAGAGUAGGGCGGGACACGUGGUAUCCUGUCUGAAUAUGGGGGGACCAUCCUCCAAGGCUAAAUACUCCUGACUGACCGAUAGUGAACCAGUACCGUGAGGGAAAGGCGAAAAGAACCCCGGCGAGGGGAGUGAAAAAGAACCUGAAACCGUGUACGUACAAGCAGUGGGAGCACCUUCGGGUGUGACUGCGUACCUUUUGUAUAAUGGGUCAGCGACUUAUAUUCUGUAGCAAGGUUAACCGUAUAGGGGAGCCGCAGGGAAACCGAGUCUUAACUGGGCGUUAAGUUGCAGGGUAUAGACCCGAAACCCGGUGAUCUAGCCAUGGGCAGGUUGAAGGUUGGGUAACACUAACUGGAGGACCGAACCGACUAAUGUUGAAAAAUUAGCGGAUGACUUGUGGCUGGGGGUGAAAGGCCAAUCAAACCGGGAGAUAGCUGGUUCUCCCCGAAAGCUAUUUAGGUAGCGCCUCGUGAAUUCAUCUUCGGGGGUAGAGCACUGUUUCGGCUAGGGGGUCAUCCCGACUUACCAACCCGAUGCAAACUACGAAUACCGAAGAAUGUUAUCACGGGAGACACACGGCGGGUGCUAACGUCCGUCGUGAAGAGGGAAACAACCCAGACCGCCAGCUAAGGUCCCAAAGUCAUGGUUAAGUGGGAAACGAUGUGGGAAGGCACAGACAGCCAGGAUGUUGGCUUAGAAGCAGCCAUCAUUUAAAGAAAGCGUAAUAGCUCACUGGUCGAGUCGGCCUGCGCGGAAGAUGUAACGGGGCUAAACCAUGCACCGAAGCUGCGGCAGCGACACUAUGUGUUGUUGGGUAGGGGAGCGUUCUGUAAGCCUGCGAAGGUGUGCUGUGAGGCAUGCUGGAGGUAUCAGAAGUGCGAAUGCUGACAUAAGUAACGAUAAAGCGGGUGAAAAGCCCGCUCGCCGGAAGACCAAGGGUUCCUGUCCAACGUUAAUCGGGGCAGGGUGAGUCGACCCCUAAGGCGAGGCCGAAAGGCGUAGUCGAUGGGAAACAGGUUAAUAUUCCUGUACUUGGUGUUACUGCGAAGGGGGGACGGAGAAGGCUAUGUUAGCCGGGCGACGGUUGUCCCGGUUUAAGCAUGUAGGCUGGUUGUCCAGGCAAAUCCGGAUAAUCAAGGCUGAGGUGUGAUGACGAGGCACUACGGUGCUGAAGUAACAAAUGCCCUGCUUCCAGGAAAAGCCUCUAAGCAUCAGGUAACAUUAAAUCGUACCCCAAACCGACACAGGUGGUCAGGUAGAGAAUACCAAGGCGCUUGAGAGAACUCGGGUGAAGGAACUAGGCAAAAUGGUGCCGUAACUUCGGGAGAAGGCACGCUGGUGUGUAGGUGAAGUCCCUGCGGAUGGAGCUGAGACCAGUCGAAGAUACCAGCUGGCUGCAACUGUUUAUUAAAAACACAGCACUGUGCAAACACGAAAGUGGACGUAUACGGUGUGACGCCUGCCCGGUGCCGGAAGGUUAAUUGAUGGGGUUAUCCGUAAGGAGAAGCUCUUGAUCGAAGCCCCGGUAAACGGCGGCCGUAACUAUAACGGUCCUAAGGUAGCGAAAUUCCUUGUCGGGUAAGUUCCGACCUGCACGAAUGGCGUAAUGAUGGCCAGGCUGUCUCCACCCGAGACUCAGUGAAAUUGAACUCGCUGUGAAGAUGCAGUGUACCCGCGGCAAGACGGAAAGACCCCGUGAACCUUUACUAUAGCUUGACACUGAACAUUGAGCCUUGAUGUGUAGGAUAGGUGGGAGGCUUUGAAGCGUGGACGCCAGUCUGCGUGGAGCCAACCUUGAAAUACCACCCUUUAAUGUUUGAUGUUCUAACGUUGGCCCCUUACCGGGGUUGCGGACAGUGUCUGGUGGGUAGUUUGACUGGGGCGGUCUCCUCCCAAAGCGUAACGGAGGAGCACGAAGGUUAGCUAAUCCUGGUCGGACAUCAGGAGGUUAGUGCAAUGGCAUAAGCUAGCUUGACUGCGAGCGUGACGGCGCGAGCAGGUGCGAAAGCAGGUCAUAGUGAUCCGGUGGUUCUGAAUGGAAGGGCCAUCGCUCAACGGAUAAAAGGUACUCCGGGGAUAACAGGCUGAUACCGCCCAAGAGUUCAUAUCGACGGCGGUGUUUGGCACCUCGAUGUCGGCUCAUCACAUCCUGGGGCUGAAGUAGGUCCCAAGGGUAUGGCUGUUCGCCAUUUAAAGUGGUACGCGAGCUGGGUUUAGAACGUCGUGAGACAGUUCGGUCCCUAUCUGCCGUGGGCGCUGGAGAAUUGAGGGGGGCUGCUCCUAGUACGAGAGGACCGGAGUGGACGCAUCACUGGUGUUCGGGUUGUCAUGCCAAUGGCACUGCCCGGUAGCUAAAUGCGGAAGAGAUAAGUGCUGAAAGCAUCUAAGCACGAAACUUGCCCCGAGAUGAGUUCU
rnacentral:rRNA from 2 species